rnacentral:rRNA from 1 species
GCAGUCGAGCGCACUCUUCGGAGUGAGCGGCGGACGGGUUAGUAACGCGUGGGAACAUACCCUUCUCUACGGAAUAGCCUCGGGAAACUGAGAGUAAUACCGUAUACGCCCUUCGGGGGAAAGAUUUAUCGGAGAUGGAUUGGCCCGCGUUAGAUUAGAUAGUUGGUGGGGUAAUGGCCUACCAAGUCUACGAUCUAUAGCUGGUUUGAGAGGAUGAUCAGCAACACUGGGACUGAGACACGGCCCAGACUCCUACGGGAGGCAGCAGUGGGGAAUCUUAGACAAUGGGCGCAAGCCUGAUCUAGCCAUGCCGCGUGAGUGACGAAGGCCUUAGGGUCGUAAAGCUCUUUCGCCAGGGAUGAUAAUGACAGUACCUGGUAAAGAAACCCCGGCUAACUCCGUGCCAGCAGCCGCGGUAAUACGGAGGGGGUUAGCGUUGUUCGGAAUUACUGGGCGUAAAGCGUACGUAGGCGGAUUGGAAAGUAGGGGGUGAAAUCCCGGGGCUCAACCCCGGAACUGCCUCCUAAACUAUCAGUCUAGAGUUCGAGAGAGGUGAGUGGAAUUCCAAGUGUAGAGGUGAAAUUCGUAGAUAUUUGGAGGAACACCAGUGGCGAAGGCGGCUCACUGGCUCGAUACUGACGCUGAGGUACGAAAGUGUGGGGAGCAAACAGGAUUAGAUACCCUGGUAGUCCACACCGUAAACGAUGAAUGCCAGACGUCGGGGGGCUUGCCCUUCGGUGUCACACCUAACGGAUUAAGCAUUCCGCCUGGGGAGUACGGUCGCAAGAUUAAAACUCAAAGGAAUUGACGGGGG